AUGCUUCAGUAGCAUGUAUACCCAAAUUACAACAGUAGAGAGAUUAACAUGGCACUUGCACAUAGAUGAUAUGAAAAUUUGUGAAGUAUUCCAUAUUUUU
ensembl:snRNA U6 U6 spliceosomal RNA